rnacentral:rRNA from 1 species
UUGGGCGUAAGGGCUCGUAGGCGGCUUGUCGCGUCGGAAGUGAAAUCCUGGGGCUUAACUCCGGGUCUGCUUUCGGUACGGGCUGGCUGGAGUAUGGCAGGGGAGACUGGAAUUCCUGGUGUAGCGGUGGAAUGCGCAGAUAUCAGGAGGAACACCGGUGGCGAAGGCGGGUCUCUGGGCCAUUACUGACGCUGAGGAGCGAAAGCGUGGGGAGCGAACAGGAUUAGAUACCCUGGUAGUCCACGCUGUAAACGUUGGGCGCUAGGUGUGGGGACUGUUUCCACGGUCUCCGUGCCGGAGCUAACGCAUUAAGCGCCCCGCCUGGGGAGUACGGCCGCAAGGCUAAAACUCAAAGGAAUUGACGGGGGCCCGCACAAGCGGCGGAGCAUGCGGCUUAAUUCGAUGCAACGCGAAGAACCUUACCAGGGCUUGACAUGCACGGUGCGACCGCAGAGAUGUGGUGUCCUUUUGGGUCGUGCACAGGUGGUGCAUGGUUGUCGUCAGCUCGUGUCGUGAGAUGUUGGGUUAAGUCCCGCAACGAGCGCAACCCUUGUCCUGUAUUGCCAGCAGGCCGGUUUUCCGGUGCUGGGGACUUGCGGGAGACUGCCGGGGUCAACUCGGAGGAAGGUG